AUUGAACGCUGGCGGCAGGCCUAACACAUGCAAGUCGAGCGGAUGAAGGGAGCUUGCUCCUGGAUUCAGCGGCGGACGGGUGAGUAAUGCCUAGGAAUCUGCCUGGUAGUGGGGGAUAACGUCCGGAAACGGGCGCUAAUACCGCAUACGUCCUGAGGGUGAAAGUGGGGGAUCUUCGGACAUCACGCUAUCAGAUGAGCCUAGGUCGGAUUAGCUAGUUGGUGGGGUAAAGGCCUACCAAGGCGACGAUCCGUAACUGGUCUGAGAGGAUGAUCAGUCACACUGGAACUGAGACACGGUCCAGACUCCUACGGGAGGCAGCAGUGGGGAAUAUUGGACAAUGGGCGAAAGCCUGAUCCAGCCAUGCCGCGUGUGUGAAGAAGGUCUUCGGAUUGUAAAGCACUUUAAGUUGGGAGGAAGGGCAGUAAGUUAAUACCUUGCUGUUUUGACGUUACCAACAGAAUAAGCACCGGCUAACUUCGUG
rnacentral:rRNA from 1 species